UACGUAGGGGGCAAGCGUUGUCCGGAAUCAUUGGGCGUAAAGAGCGCGUAGGCGGCCAGAAAAGUCCGCUGUGAAAACUCGAGGCUCAACUUCGAGCUGUCGGUGGAAACUUUCUGGCUAGAGUCCGGAAGAGGAGAAUGGAAUUCCUGGUGUAGCGGUGAAAUGCGCAGAUAUCAGGAAGAACACCCGUGGCAAAGGCGGUUCUCUGGGACGGUACUGACGCUGAGACGCGAAAGCGUGGGGAGCGAACAGG
rnacentral:rRNA from 1 species